CCGCCCUAACCCGUAGAUCCGAACUUGUGUCCGCGCGAUGCAAAGCACAAGUUCCCCUCUGCGGGUCUGGGCUGG
rnacentral:pre_miRNA from 1 species